rfam:Podiceps cristatus contig58906, whole genome shotgun sequence.
AAAGAGGCCUUUCUAAAGGCCACAGAAAAUUCAGAGGGGAUAAACCG